rnacentral:lncRNA from 1 species
UCAUCUCUUUCCUAUUCUGAUCAUCGUGUCCCGUUUAGUUUACCCCUGACGUUGCUAGCGUACUUGCGAUCACUCAGGUCCAAGCACAUGCCUGCAUUCGACCUGGUCAUGUUAUUCUUCCUUUUACACUGAAGUACUGUAGAUGGCCAUCACUGUACUGCAACUUCCACACUCGUUUUGGGUAAGCAACUGCUCCAUCCGUUCCAAAUUACUAUUCGUUUUGACUUUUCUAGAUAUAUAACUUUUGCUAUGUACAUAGACAUAAUAUAUAUCUAGGUGCAUGUCAAAUGCUAUGUAUCUGGAAAAGCUAAAACCAAUAGUAAUUUGGGACGGAGGGAGUACUUAGUAAGUUGGGGAAGAAUACUUAUCAUUUAUCUACUUUUAUCUGAUCAUCUCCCUUUAAAUUGUUCUCAAAAAUAAUUGUAGCAUUUAUUGUAUCAAAAUAAAUAGUUGACUUCAUUUAGUUAAGAAAACGUAUGCACAGUCACAGUCUAGUUUUCAUAUCUUAUUAUUACUAAUUGGAGGCUUCUUUUGAAGCCUCCAGAUGAAGCCACCUAGGAUUCCUAGGUGGACAUUCUAGAAAAGAAGAGAAAUCCUAGAGAUUCUCACAAAAAAGCAAAACAUCUGGCCAUCAAUCAGUAGACUCAAAUCAUCAUAGCCAUUAGAUCUAUUAUGUUUUCUAAAAAAUUACCCACCAAUGCCAUUAUAAAAAUAGCCUAAAAUAACCCCUAAAUAUAUACCUAAAUUACCCACCUCUGCCAUUAUAUAAAAUUAACUAAAGAAACCUUCUAAUCUUCAUCAAAAUUACCCACUCAUGACAUUAUAACCAAUAUUUAAAAUAACCCCUAAAUUUGCAACUAAAUUGCCCACAAUAAUACUUAAAAAAACUUGAAAUAACCCCUAAAUUUGUAUCUAUACCCA